ensembl:lincRNA
GGAAGGAUGUGAAAAAUUGGGGCCAGCAGUUCAAUCUUCUAUAUAUACCCAUCUUACACUUUUGGAAGAGAAUGGUAGAAGUAAUAAAGUCUGAAAUGUGGUAGUGGAGAAUAGAGAGAUAGGCAGAGGGAAAUAAACAUAUACCAAGUAUUUGCUAAGCUGAACACUAUCUAGGUUUAUUUCAGCAUCACAACUCCUUAUCUAUGUAUACAGUUGACGUUUGACUGAUUUUUUUUAAAUGAAACACACAAACUUUAUUGAACGAAAGUAACAGGUAAAGUCAAACAGGCACUUACAUUAAGAGAAAAACUGACUGGAAGAACUUUUAUCUUAAACAUCUUACAGUAACCUCCUUGCAGCUAUAUUUAACUUGCAGUUGUAUUUAGGCUACAGCACUUUACUUGUCUCUUGUCAUUUAACCUUCACAAGAACCCUAUGAGAUAAAGCCUAUUAUUACCUCAAUUUUACCAGUGAGGACCUGAGCUCUGUGGCUGUGAAGAAUACAGCUCAUGCACAGGAAAUAUUUGGCUAAGACACGGCCACUUAUGAUGUCUACAUAAAUAACAGGAUCAGGAGCUGGGCCAACUAUGGGAAUGAAGAGGAAACUGGAAAAAGAACCUGUAACGCCUGAGAUCGCCUGACCACCAACCCAGCAGGAUAGCUGCUGGGGUCUUAUUAAAUUAGCAAAAAAGAAACUAAAAGUGAUUUGUCAAGGUACGAAAGCAUUUGGACUGGAAGAAGCAAGAGACGGAAGUGCUGUUGGAAGACAGAGUCAGUUUCUCUGCCCAGGGAGAGCAAUUCUCUGUCUUGGAUCAGCUCACCUAUUAUUCAGAAAGCAUAUCAUGAACGCAGAACCGCAGCGGACUCUGCUUUUUCUGGGAGAGAAGAAUGAGAAUGUAAUUUUCCAAUUCAUUUUGAAGACGGUCCUCAGUCACACUCAAGAGACAAGCCAAUCCAACUGGAGGGGAAGUUACAAAGCUGCAUCUAGCCCUGUGCUGGGAAUUGGCGGGGAGGGUGGUCCGAUGGCUGGGAGCUAACGACCGUCAUUAUCUUUAACAACUACUGACUUUGUACAACUAAAGUGUGACAUUAUGCCUGCGCAUUGCGUCUACUGUGUGAGUUUAAAUCACUGACACUCUUCAUUUUUUUCUCUGGUUUUACAGACUAAGAAUUGUGUAAGCCUGAUAUAUUUACAAAUUCCCAUCAGGACCUGCAGCUUAAUGUGGUGAAUAUUUCAGGUGAACAAAACCAGAGGGUCACUUUU